rnacentral:rRNA from 1 species
UACGGAGGGUGCAAGCGUUAUCCGGAUUCACUGGGCUUAAAGGGUGCGUAGGAGGGCAGGUAAGUCAGUGGUGAAAUCCUAGAGCUUAACUCUAGAACUGCCGUUGAUACUCUCUGUCUUGAAUCCCGUGGAGAUGAGCGGAAUAUGUCAUGUAGCGGUGAAAUGCUUAGAUAUGACAUAGAACACCAAUUGCGAAGGCAGCUCGUUACACGAAGAUUGACUCUGAGGCACGAAAGCGUGGGGAUCAAACAGG